CCCUAAGCAUUAUUUCCACCCGAUUCCCUUAUUCUUCUCACGAUUCUUCUCAACCUCCUGUGCCCUGCAUCUUGCCACCGCUCCCUCAACCUCCCUCUUGCGUAUCUGCUCGGCACCACUGGUCGACGCUACGCCACCCACCGACUAAGCACCAAGUCGCUCAGAUAGUGAGACGCUGACGCCUUGCGCGACCUGCAGACGCUCUACGCGGACUGCCACCGUCGUUUGACACCAUUGCGGCCCCUUCUCAGCGUGACGCCGGUACGGCGACACCACAGGCCACUGUCGUCGUGGGAGUAGACGUCUCCCCUUCUCUGUGUGAGGCAGCUCGUCAUCGUUACAGGCCACAGUUGACGCGAGAGCUAAUGCCGCUGCUCUCUCUCAUUGCCUGCUUCGAUCUGUAAGCAUAGGGCCAUUGCCGCCAGUCCAUCUCCGACCAAAAGAAGACUACCGACGAACUACCUUGAGCUGGCAUCUUUCAGAGCCGCUUCUUUAUUUACUACCAUGCAGCGAGGGAGACAGGCACAACUCCAUGCACACCUGAACUGCUAGCCGGAGAUCUAUCCUCUCUUCAGUUUAGGGAGGAGGAAAAAUCCACUGGGAUACCAUCUUCUCAUCAGAUCUGAGGUGGAGAGUUCUUUCUUCAUGGUAGCAUUCAAUUUCUUCAUUGAACAGACUGCUGAUUGGAAAUAAGAUUGGUUCUCUAGUCCAGCUGGAUGUAUUGUCAGUGAUAGUUUCAUGUCUACGGUUCCAUGCUUGUUCAAUUUGUGUGUGGGGAAGAUUACAACUGCUAUAAUACAUGGACAUGAAUUAACAGAGGACAUAAUUGAACUUCCGCCAGACUUGUUUGAUAAUUUAGUGAGGAACCUUUCUCCUUUGGCACUGCAAAAUAUACAUGAAUUUCGAGAAAGAUCAGCUGACCAUUCUUGUGAGUUUGGAUGCAAAAAUGCUAGCUUUGAGUGCAGACAAAAUUGUGGAAGGUGUGAAGAUUUCAAUACACUAUGGAUGAUGUUAUUCAUGACUCGCUGGUCCAAUAUCAAGAGGAUUCAUCCUUCUGGAAUAGAUGGUAAUGAUAAAUCAAAAUUGAACCAAAGUCUUGACUGGCAACAACUAUACUGGGAAAAGCACCUACAAGAUGUUUUAGAUGAAGCUGCAGAGAAAGCCUUGCUUCCUUCGUUUGAUGCUAAUAUUGGUGAUCUUACAAUUUCGGACAGCAUCAUGGAUGCAAUUGGUCACAGAGAUACAUGUUGCUGUAUGAAACUAUCCUUCCAUUGUAACAGAUUUGGGAAAUAUAUGAGAUAUUUGAGACUUCAAAAUGUGCUUUGUGUUGCUGAAACAUGUGAGCUACUCCGAGGUUGCAAGUUGCAAAGUUUGGUGUUUAGAAGAGUAAUAUCCAAAACUCAGGUCGAUGGACUUCUCAUGCUUCUCAAACAGCACAGACAUACACUGCGAUCUCUUGAAUUUAUUUUUUGCCGCAUUCCUUCUGCCAUAUUUGAACAAUUUUUUGGGUGUAUGCACAUAGAUGGUUCUGAAACCCAUGGGAUCCAUGAUCUUUAUAUCAAAUCAUCUCGUGUAUUUGACAACAAAUCAUCUUUGGUUCCUUCUGGCCUUUUGUCUUUUCUAGUAUCUGGGAGGGACUUGCACUCACUGUGUAUCUGUGACAGUAAGUUACAGGCAAUGCAUGCAAAAUUGAUCUUUGAUGUUCUCGUGGAGUCAUCUUCUCCUUUAGUCACGCUUGAAAUAUCAGAAAAUAAUCUUGCUGGUUGGCUAUCUAGGGUUGUGAGGGAACCUUUGGAUUCUUCAUCAUUUAUUGAACCAAAAAUGCCACUGCAGUCACUCAGGGAACUGACUUUAAGGGGCAAUAAUUUGAAGAAGGAAGAUGCGGAAGAUCUCUGUUAUAUCUUGGUUCAUAUGCCUGUAUUGCAAUGUUUAGAUAUCAGUGACAAUGCCAUAAUGGAUGGAGGAAUCAGGAGUCUGAUUCCUUAUUUUAUUUGGGCUCUUUUGAAAGAUUACCCUCUUACUGAUAUUAAGUUAAAUAAUUGCAAUCUAUCUUGCUCUGGAGUUGCUAAUCUUUUAAGAAGCCUCCCGCCUAUAAAAACACCACUAAAUACGUUUUCUGUGGCAGAAAAUGAACUUGGCAGUUUUAUCGCAGCACCACUGGCAAAGUUCCUGGCUUCCCCUGGUGUUAGAAAACUCAACAUCGAAGAUAUAGGACUAGGAAUAUUAGGUUUUCAGCAACUUGAAGAUCAAAUACCCAGGGAGACGGCUCUUCAAUACAUCAACAUAAGCAAGAAUCGUGGUGGGAACAAAGCUGCAUAUUUCAUCUCUAAAGCCCUCUUGUAUGCACCAAAUAUUACUUGUAUCAAAGCUGGAGGUAAUAUCAUGCCUCCUGAAUCUGUGGAAGUCAUUUACAGGGCUCUGAAAGAAUCAAGAGAUGCUAACUAGGCAGAUUCAAGGGGAGGAGGAAGCUGAAGCUCCUGAUGAAACUGAUGAAACUACAGCUCAAAAUAUUGUUGCCGCUGGCACCACCGAUGAACCCGAGUGGUUAAUGGAAUACCCGCAACUAAAACAAAUAUCGGAGCACAUUUAUUCUCAAGAAGCAGUUUCCAGUAUAGGCCUCCUGCAGAUGCUACCAUGAAUCCGGUUGGUUAUCCUCCAACGGAAAGGCGACCCAAACCUGAACCUAUAAGCAUAGCAGCUGAGCCUGACAUUAAUAUCAGAAGAAAUGGGAACUUCAAGAAAGAUAAUAAAUCUGAAUGGUGGAAUUUUCCAUCUGCCCAACAGCAUACUGGAGCAAUCCUCACUUUACCAACCCAGCUUGGAAAGAUUGAGGAUGUUUUCCUCCGAUGGGAAGCAAUCACCAAGAACGUAGUUGCCCUGCAAAAUUUUGCAAACACUCAAGAUAAAGCAGAUUUCAUCGAAAAUCUACUGGGAGAAGCUGAAAGAUUGACCUGGAUCCAAUGGCGAAUGACAUUCCCAAAUGAAUACCAAGAUCUAGUAAAAUCAGCAGAAGGCCACAACGGUACGCAAAACAUAAUCUUUCAAAUUAGAAGGGUAUUUAUUCUUGAAGACCCCUUUCAAGGGCCCACUGACAUGCAGGAUAGGGCAUACAGAGAUUUAGAAAGGUUAACAUGCCCCCAAAUAAAGGAUAUUAUACCCUUUAUAAAUGAAUAUAUGAAUCUUGCAGCCAAGACAGGACAAUUAUUUACAAGCGAGAAUUAUCCGAAAAAUUUUGGCUAAAACUUCCUGGAGAUCUUGGUAGAAGAAUAAAAGUAGCCUUUGAGGAAAUGUAUCCAGGAAAUACAAUGGAAGUACACCCUCAGGUAGUAUUUACUUACAAAUACCUUGAAGAAGAAUGCAAGAAGGCAGCUUAGUAGAUCCCUCAAAGACUUGUCAUUCUGCAGCCAGAUACCAAUCCCAGGCUACUAUCAGGAUACAAGAAGAAAGUAUGGAGUAAGAAGAUCUACAACCUACAAAGGAAAGCCGCAUCAGUCACACGCAAGAAUAGAGAGGAAAAAGCAUCUUAUCAGAAAUAAAAAAUGCAAGUGCAUUCUUUGCCGAGAAGAAGGGCAUUUGCCCAAGAUUGCCCCCGGGAAUAUAAGAAUGUAAAAAGAGUUGCAAUAUUUGAAGGACUGGAGCUCCCGAAAGAAUAUGAAAUAAUGUCUGUUCAAGAAGGAGAUGACCAGUCUGAUGCGAUCUAUAGCAUCUCAGAAGGGGAGGACCAGCAGGUACACUUGAGAUAUUGGACUUGACUGGAAAUAGUCAAUUAUGCCAGUCCAACUACACCAAACUACUCGAGUUUGAACUUGGUGGGAGAUCGAUUGUGACCAUGCCAACACCAUCGACCUCAAACACACCAUA